GAGCGGAUGAAGGGAGCUUGCUCCUGGAUUCAGCGGCGGACGGGUGAGUAAUGCCUAGGAAUCUGCCUGGUAGUGGGGGAUAACGUCCGGAAACGGGCGCUAAUACCGCAUACGUCCUGAGGGAGAAAGUGGGGGAUCUUCGGACCUCACGCUAUCAGAUGAGCCUAGGUCGGAUUAGCUAGUUGGUGGGGUAAAGGCCUACCAAGGCGACGAUCCGUAACUGGUCUGAGAGGAUGAUCAGUCACACUGGAACUGAGACACGGUCCAGACUCCUACGGGAGGCAGCAGUGGGGAAUAUUGGACAAUGGGCGAAAGCCUGAUCCAGCCAUGCCGCGUGUGUGAAGAAGGUCUUCGGAUUGUAAAGCACUUUAAGUUGGGAGGAAGGGCAGUAAGUUAAUACCUUGCUGUUUUGACGUUACCAACAGAAUAAGCACCGGCUAACUUCGUGCCAGCAGCCGCGGUAAUACGAAGGGUGCAAGCGUUAAUCGGAAUUACUGGGCGUAAAGCGCGCGUAGGUGGUUCAGCAAGUUGGAUGUGAAAUCCCCGGGCUCAACCUGGGAACUGCAUCCAAAACUACUGAGCUAGAGUACGGUAGAGGGUGGUGGAAUUUCCUGUGUAGCGGUGAAAUGCGUAGAUAUAGGAAGGAACACCAGUGGCGAAGGCGACCACCUGGACUGAUACUGACACUGAGGUGCGAAAGCGUGGGGA
rnacentral:rRNA from 1 species